rnacentral:rRNA from 1 species
AUACGGAGGAUCCGAGCGUUAUCCGGAUUUAUUGGGUUUAAAGGGAGCGUAGGUGGAUUGUUAAGUCAGUUGUGAAAGUUUGCGGCUCAACCGUAAAAUUGCAGUUGAAACUGGCAGUCUUGAGUACAGUAGAGGUGGGCGGAAUUCGCGGUGUAGCGGUGAAAUGCUUAGAUAUCACGAAGAACUCCGAUUGCGAAGGCAGCUCACUAGACUGUUACUGACAAUGAUGCUCGAAAGUGUGGGUAUCAAACAGGAUUAGAUACCCUGGUAGUCCACACAGUAAACGAUGAAUACUCGCUGUUUGCGAUAUACAGUAAGCGGCCAAGCGAAAGCAUUAAGUAUUCCACCUGGGGAGUACGCCGGCAACGGUGAAACUCAAAGGAAUUGACGGGG